rnacentral:ncRNA from 1 species
AACGUCCGAUGAAAAGGGAAUCAGGUGCAAGUCCUGAACAGUCCCGCUGCUGUAAGUUCCGCAUACGUGUCGCAGACCAUUCUUUUGCCACUGGGCGUUGUCCUGGGAAGGCGGCUGCCGACGGGAACAAGUCAGAAGACCUGCCGUUUGCCUUUG